rnacentral:rRNA from 1 species
GUUUGACCUCAAAUCAGGUAGGACUACCCGC